rnacentral:rRNA from 1 species
UACGUAGGGUGCGAGCGUUGUCCGGAAUUACUGGGCGUAAAGAGCUCGUAGGUGGUUUGUCGCGUUGUUCGUGAAAACUCACAGCUCAACUGUGGGCGUGCGGGCGAUACGGGCAGACUGGAGUACUGCAGGGGAGACUGGAAUCCUGGUGUAGCGGUGGAAUGCGCAGAUAUCAGGAGGAACACCGGUGGCGAAGGCGGGUCUCUGGGCAGUGAACUGACGCUGGAGGAGCGAAAGCGUGGGGAGCAAACAGG